rnacentral:rRNA from 1 species
GACGAACGCUGGCGGCGUGCCUAAUACAUGCAAGUAGAACGCUGAAGGAGGAGCUUGCUUCUCCGGAUGAGUUGCGAACGGGUGAGUAACGCGUAGGUAACCUGCCUGGUAGCGGGGGAUAACUAUUGGAAACGAUAGCUAAUACCGCAUAAUAGCAGUUAUUGCAUGAUAACUGUUUGAAAGGUGCAAUUGCACCACUACCAGAUGGACCUGCGUUGUAUUAGCUAGUUGGUGGGGUAACGGCUCACCAAGGCGACGAUACAUAGCCGACCUGAGAGGGUGAUCGGCCACACUGGGACUGAGACACGGCCCAGACUCCUACGGGAGGCAGCAGUAGGGAAUCUUCGGCAAUGGACGGAAGUCUGACCGAGCAACGCCGCGUGAGUGAAGAAGGUUUUCGGAUCGUAAAGCUCUGUUGUAAGAGAAGAACGAGUGUGAGAGUGGAAAGUUCACACUGUG